rnacentral:rRNA from 1 species
GACAGAGGGGGCAAGCGUUGCUCGGAAUCACUGGGCGUAAAGGGCGCGUAGGCGGGAUGGCAAGUCAGUCGUGAAAUCUCUCGGCUCAACCGGGAGAGGUUGUCCGAUACUGCUGGACUUGAGGGCAGUAGAGGGUGGUGGAAUUCCGGGUGUAGUGGUGAAAUGCGUAGAUAUCUGGAGGAACACCGGUGGCGAAGGCGGCGUCCUGGACCAACACUGACACUGAUGAGCGAAAGCCAGGGGAGCAAACGGG